rnacentral:rRNA from 1 species
GUAUAAGAGACAGGGAGGCAGCAGUAGGGAAUCUUCCGCAAUGGACGAAAGUCUGACGGAGCAACGCCGCGUGAGUGAUGAAGGCUUUCGGGUCGUAAAACUCUGUUGUUAGGGAAGAACAAGUGCUAGUUGAAUAAGCUGGCACCUUGACGGUACCUAACCAGAAAGCCACGGCUAACUACGUGCCAGCAGCCGCGGUAAUACGUAGGUGGCAAGCGUUAUCCGGAAUUAUUGGGCGUAAAGCGCGCGCAGGUGGUUUCUUAAGUCUGAUGUGAAAGCCCACGGCUCAACCGUGGAGGGUCAUUGGAAACUGGGAGACUUGAGUGCAGAAGAGGAAAGUGGAAUUCCAUGUGUAGCGGUGAAAUGCGUAGAGAUAUGGAGGAACACCAGUGGCGAAGGCGACUUUCUGGUCUGUAACUGACACUGAGGCGCGAAAGCGUGGGGAGCAAACAGGAUUAGAUACCCCUGGACUAC